CUGGCGUUUCGGGUCACGUACAUCCGAGGGUCG
rnacentral:rRNA from 1 species